GUUUUCCUCUCCUCUCAUCUCUCUCUCUCUCUCUCUCUCUCUCUCUUCCCCUCUCUUUCUCUCCGCCAUGGCUGCAGGACGGCGACGAGGAAACCGUCGGCGACCCAAAACCGGCCGACAACGAGAAACCCCCCUCCCAAAAACAAGGAAUGUGUAAAGAGGAGGGCUCUGAAGUCGGUGAGAAAUAAUCCUUACUGCUCAGAAGCAGCUGCAAAGGAUGCCAUUGAAUCCGUGUGGGAUAUCUGUUACAAUGAUACUUACCCUUUUGACAGAGCUCCAUAAACCUUGGCUUGGUAAUCCUCUGCUGAUUUGAAGAUAGGGGCCUUAUUUUUUCUCCAAUGAAGACAAGUUAAAGGCAUUUUAAUGGUGUAGAGUAGAAUCAAUUUAUUGGAUCUCUACACAUACCAUGCUCUUACCAAGCAAUGCUAUAAUUGUUCAUCAAGAUAUGUAAGCACCUGCAAUAUCUUUAUUUCCGAGCAUAUCUAAGAACGAUGAUGCUUGGUUGGUGGGAAAAAAAAAUAUUGUUUUUCGAUAUUGUCAAUGGAUAUUAUCGGACAAUAAAUUGGAUUUUAUUUUUGAGGAAGUGAUGAAUAUUUUUGUAGUAAUCAAUAGUAUAAUUUUUCUUGUAUCAAGCGGACUGUUCUUUUUGUAGGUC